rnacentral:lncRNA from 1 species
AGACCAAUGGGCGACAGAGCCAGAUUCCAAAGUGGGCAAACGGGUUUCGCUGUGCUUGCCUGGUUGAAAACGCGAGUAUUUAAUUCCGUUUUUGUUUUUCAGAAGGGAGAGAAAAAUAAAACGCAGCACCCCACAGCAACGACCCACAAGAGCCUCUGACAUGCUCCUUUUUCGUUAACCAGCUAUCGACCUGGUUGUGUCCGAUUGCGGACUGAGAGAAAGAACACAGGAAGAGCCAGGCUGUUCUCAGGAAGGACUCACGCCGGCCAAGGGGCCGUCCCUGGCCCAGAGUGUGAACCUCUAGACCCGGACAUGAACCUAAGAACUUCGCUUAAUUAGAUCCCUCCAGGCAUCCCAGGCCCAGGGUAGAAACAGCUACCCGUGACCAACUGGGAAGGGCUUUGGUCUGGCCCUGAAAUCCUCACUCCACGUCGGGACUCAGUAUCCCAAGCGACUGAGUCGCAGCAUGGCUGUUUCCUCAACCUGGGACCAGGCCAGUGGAAUUCAGCUCUUAGACUAAACUCGAGAAUCCGCGGAUAGCUGAACCUUUUCAUGGGAUUUUUAAUCCAGGAGAUUAGAUCAGACAAACUAGCACAGGGAGCGAGGAGAAGCAGGUGCACCCGGAGAUGAUUGGAAAAGACCUGAGCGCAACAGCAGGCGACGGGCAGAAGCUUCCCUUGCAACAGGCUCUCUCAACAGGCUCAGUGCACAAAGCGCUCGCCGCGAAAGCUCUGUGUUCUGGGCUCAGGGCGCCAGGAGUAUACAGAAAAGGUGUCCGCUGAGGACACGUGGCGCACGAAGCUGUGCGCGCUGGAGGACAACUGCAAGUGGUGACAGAUGUGUAGCCUGAGGCCCACCAGCUUCGGGGUCUGCACGAACACUCUGAACUACCAGCCCUCUUCCCUCCCUUGGUCAAGCUCCCCGAUGUGCCUGUGUUCCUGUCGUUGGGAGCCUCUGCAGCCUUGGGUCUACCAGCCCGGACAGAGUUCAAUCCUUUCCUCCCAAGGCCCAGAGUCCCCCAGAGGCGGUGCGGGCUGGCUAUCCUUCAGCUUCCUGCAGACGCUGCUGCGUACGCUCCCCCCACCCCCAGCUGGGGUUACAGCAGCCACACGGACUUGCAGAUGCAUGGCCUGGCGUAGCACCGGGAGGAAUUCACAUUUGACUGUGAAUCCGGCCCCGCAGCAUCCCAGGAGGCGCGGACCGGGCGCCGGCUCGUCUGCCGUGCAACGCUGGUUGAGCCCUGUAAGCCAUCAGGGCCUUGGAGGCUGUCCCUGGUCCAGAGGCGCUACGGGAAACUUUGGGGCAAACUUUGCAAACUUCUUUCUCGGAGUUGAGAGCCGCCGGUCAGAAAGGCUGCGGCAGCAGCAGCGUGGGCCCCAAACCGGAUUUGUACACCUCGAAACUGGCCCUCCGGCCCCAGAAGGAGCACGAGACUCCCCAGCGUGCCCUCCGCGCGCGCCUGCACCUCCGGGACCAGGCCCCCCCGCCACUGGUCUUCAAGUGACCAGCUCUACGAGGCUCCAGGAAUCCCAGCGUGGAAGGAAAACUGUGGCCCUGAGCACCAGUGGUUUUAUUUCUUUGGUUUUAUUUCUUUUUCUCUGCAAAAUCAUCCGGUUUCCACCUGCGCCGAGCCUUUUUCCGCUGAUCUCCCCCCCCCUCCCCGUCCUGUUCAUCCCUCACACUUUCUGUAUGUUUGGUUUUCCGGGCAUUUAUUUUUCUCUUUCUUUGGUUGCUAGUGUGAUGUUUGAUCCUUUUUUAUUUUUCUGGGCCGCUUUUUUUUUAAAGUUCAUUCUUUUUUGCCGCUCCCCUUCUGUGUCUCUGCCCCCCUCUUCCUCGGUUUCAUCUUUUUCCUUUUCUCCCUCCCUCUCUUUUACCCGAUC